UGGGGAAUUUUCCGCAAUGGGCGAAAGCCUGACGGAGCAAUGCCGCGUGGAGGUGGAAGGCCUACGGGUCGUCAACUUCUUUUCUCGGAGAAGAAACAAUGACGGUAUCUGAGGAGUAAGCAUCGGCUAACUCUGUGCCAG
rnacentral:rRNA from 1 species